GCGGGUAAACGGCGGGAG
rnacentral:ncRNA from 3 species